CCUAACACAUGCAAGUCGAGCGAGAAGGAAGCAAUUCCUGUAAAGCGGCGCACGGGUGAGUAACACGUAGGUAAUCUACCUCGAAGUGGUGGAUAACCUUCCGAAAGGAGGGCUAAUACAGCAUGAGACCACGGUUUCGAAAGAGAUUGAGGUCAAAGCGGGCCACUAUACAUAAGCUCGCGCUUCGAGAUGAGCCUGCGGCCCAUCAUGGUAGUUGGUAGGGUAAUGGCCUACCAAGCCGAAGACGGGUAGCUGGUCUGAGAGGAUGAUCAGCCACACUGGAACUGAGACACGGUCCAGACUCCUACGGGAGGCAGCAGUGGGGAAUCUUGCGCAAUGGGCGAAAGCCUGACGCAGCGACGCCGCGUGAGUGAUGAAGGCCUUCGGGUUGUAAAGCUCUGUGGAGGGGGACGAAUAAGGGUUGGCUAACAUCCAGCUCGAUGACGGUACCCCCUUUAGCAAGCACCGGCUAACUCUGUGCCAGCAGCCGCGGUAAGACAGAGGGUGC
rnacentral:rRNA from 1 species